CUAUGCUGCAAUUAAUGAUGUUGCCAUUGUCAUUUCACACAUGUGCAGGUCCAUCUCUAGUAUAAUUUCCAAGAAAUGGGGUGACUGGAUCUGAGUACAUACUUAAGUUGACUGCUGAGGCCAAAUUUCUCUCCAUAGAAGUUGCACCAUUUUAGACUCCACUAGAAAGGCUUGAGUUUGUCAAUACAAUAUGUUAUAAAACUCCUGGAUCCUGGAUCUCUGGAAUCUGAUAGGUUUUAAAAUGCUACUUACUUUAAUUUUGAUUUGCACUUGGGUGUAAUGAGUAAGAUUGAGCCUCCUUUGAUAUGAAUAAGAGCCAGCUGAUUUUCUUAUCUUUUGAGCUGUCUAUUCAUAUCCCAUUCUCCUGGUGGGUUAUUGGUCUUUUGCAUAUUAAUCUCUAAGAGUUCUUUAUCUAAAGAUAAAGUAAAAUUACUCCCGUAUUCAUGAUAGGAGUUGAAAACAUUUUUCCAAGUUUGGAAUUGCUCUUUUGACUUUAUGGUGAUUUAUUGCCAUGCAGAAAAGUAUACUGUUAAGUAUUUGAAUUUAGCAAAUACUAAAAUACUAUUUUAUUUGCCUUCAAAUUCUGAGUAACAGUUUAAAAAGUCUUUCCCAUCUCAAGAUUAAAAACAAAAGCAAAAACCCUGUGGUUUCUUUGAGUACUUCUACAACUUCAGUUUUUACUAAGUGACAGGUAUGAAAUCAACAAUAUUUGACAAGUUUUUACCAACAGAGGGUGGUCAUAUGGUCCAACCUGUAUGUUCAAUACUUUGAUCCACAUGGAAUUUAUUCUGAUGCAAGAUACAAGGUCAAGUCCAACUUAAUGUUUUUACAGGUACCACCUCAACUUAGAAAGCUAUCUUUUCCCAACUGAUUUUUAAUGCUUCUUCCUGUAUAUUGAUUUUGCAAAUCAAGUUAUACAUGUUUAUGAUUUUCAAAACUCUUUCACUGAACAGCUUUCCCAAACUGCUCUUUUAAUUAUUUAGAUUUUACAUUUUAAUAUCUCCUUUUAUUCUUUUUCAGAAUUUUCCUGUCAGGUUUUUCUACUUGAGAAUUUAGAACAUUCUACUCUAGUUCCUAAACGUCCUAUAAUAAUCUUGCUCAUAUUUUUAUUAAGGUCACUUGAAUUAAUUGCUGCUUUUAUGAUGUAACAUUGUCUGAACCAGCUUCUUAACUGUUUUCGGUUUCUGACCAACCUCUGAGUUCUCUAAUCUGUGCCUUCUGCCCUCUGCCACCUGACUAAUCUGCCUCAAGCAUCAUCUUCAUUAAAUCACAUCCCUGAGUUUCCCUAAUCCAGCCCUUUUCUUGUUUUCAUGCAUUUUCCCUUUAGAAAUCUGCCAUGUCCUCUUCUCACCCCUUCAGUAACUAAAAGCCCUGAUAAAUCCACUUGUCCAUCCAUUUCACAUCUUCAAGUGAAACCUUGCCUGACUCAUGUGACACUCCACUCUUCCCUUGCUUUCAUGAAAUCACUGUCCUACAUAAUUUACUUAACACUAAAUUAUGCAUGACUUUUUCUUAUAUAUUUAACCUGAACAGUUUGAAUUUCAAAGGCAGAUAAUUAAACAUUUAAUUACAUUUACAUUAAACUCAAACCUCUGUGGUUGAAAUAAUGAUACACACUCAGAUUUUUAUUACUUUGGACCUGCACAAACCUGAACUUCUUGCGUGUCUAAAUCAUAUAAUCUCUACUGAUUCAUUCAAUCUGUCAACAAAUAUGUAUUGCAUGUCUAUCAUGUGCCAGGCAUUCUGAUAGUCUUUGGAUAUUUGUAUAAAUCAAAUUAAGCUAAGUUAAAAGCAAUGAGAUAAGCCCUAAUCAUGGUGGUUUACAAGCAUAAAAGUUUAUUUUUUGCUCUUGUUACAUGUCUAUCCCCACUCAGCUUGGACUCCACUCCAAUCUUUAUUUCAGGACUUAGGUUAAAGGAGCUGCUCUAGAUAGGAUAUGUUGGUCUCAUGGCAAAGGGAAAGGACAGUGGUUCAACCUGUGAAAAUGCUUAAAGCUUCUGCUUCGGAGUGGCACUUGCCAAUUCUGCUGAUAUUUUAUUGGCCAAAACAGGACACGAUGUGGCUAAGCUUGAACUCGAUGGGACUGAAAAUAGAAUAUUCUGGAAAGAAGAGCAUUGAAAGGCACUGAGUAUUUUUAAUAAAUAGUACAAUACACUGCAGCAAUGAAACAGUGAAAGAGAACAGGUGUAGUACCAAUCUCACAGAGCUUAUAAACUAGCUAGAAAUAUGGACAUUAACUGAAUGAGAACAUAAUUGUGACACAGGCUCCAAAAGAGAAGGAGAGCUAGCCAGCAUAGUCUGGGUGGUUUAAAAUAAGCCCUUCCUACCACCACCAAGAGAUAUUUCAGAGUUAAUAGACGUUAACCAGGCAGGUGAGAGGGUUGCCCCCUGGCCAAAUGCUUUAAAUAACUUGAAGUCAUUCAGAAGUCUUGAACACACUAAUUUGACCAAGAUCACUUAGUGUACUCCUUUGUUUGCAGAUUUUCUGCAUCUAAAUUCAAUAAGAUAAUCUUCUCAAUGGCUCACUAUUCCACAAUUCCUUAUUAAUAUGUUUUUCCCAUAUGACAAAUCAGGUAUAACCUUAUAAUUAUCAUAUUGACAUUUUUAUUGGUAUUGAUAGACCUUGAGUGACAACUUAUAAUUUGACUGAGACGUACCUUUCUACAGAUGGCUAGGCUACCUAUAUAUUUAUACAAUAUGUGUAAUAUAUAUUGUACUCUCUUCGGUCUAAAAAUAUAAUGCCAUCCUCAAAAGAAGUUGGUAGUAAUUAUAAAGCAAGGGAAAGAAUGGUUUGAUCAUUUCGAAGGGGAACGUACCCUAUCCCUAACAUGUAAUUAUUCACCCACUUCCAUUUCAUAAGAUGAUAUUGCUCUCAAUGAUUUACUGAGAAAUAAAUGAGUAAACUAAUAAAGAUGCUGGGGUCUUAGUCUUGCUUUCCUAAUGGAUGCCUCAGAAGAGAGCCUUUGUAAUUCUGUCUCCGUACCAUAUGUCUCUGUUGACAUUAAAGUGCUUAGUUCCAAAUGAGUUGGCUUCAUUCAAGCAUCUUAAUUCAAGAAUGGAUGAUUAGAUCUUAAGCUAAAAACCUAUUAGGAUGUAAGCACUUGUGUUUUUGAAAGGUAUUAAGGGAACAUCAUAGUGUGGUUGGAAAUAAAUCCUCCUAUCUAGGAGUGGGUUGGCAAGAAUCUCCAUUUGAUCUUCAAACAUAACUGACUAGCCUCAUGUCAAAGUUAAACACAGAACGAGAAAUCUGUCGAGUGUUAUAGAAUACACAGCCUGGAUCGUGUCUGCUUUUAUCCUCUGCUCAUAGUGGUUUCAGAGAUACUUGUCUCUGAGUAGGGAUGGUUGGAGAAGACCAAGUAUCUUUUCCAUGCAAAAAAAAAACACCCUGCACGAGAUUCUGAGCUCAGAGCCAGAAGGCACCUUCAUGAAACUUGUGAAAUGAGUGCCACACUGGGGUGGAAUUACAUACCCACCAGGUUUCUUAACAGUACCAAGCAACAAGCAUGAAUAUAAAAGGACAAAUUGAAUCACAAAUGCUUCCAAUCCCUUGGAGGAAGCACAGACAUUUCUAAAUAAAACCUAAUGCUCUGAUUGUUCCUGCUUUUAUUUAGCCACACGUGUGGUACACACUAACAGGAUUCUCCCCCCCUUCCUGUUAAUUUGCUUCUGUCCAUAUGUAAUCCUAUCGUCAGCGGGCACAGUGAUCUUCACCCUGGCCAUGGCAUCAUCAUUUGAUAACCAUCUGCCUAAGGUUUAUGCAGAAACUUGUUUAGUUUACAGAGCUACUGCCAAGUUAGGGACUCCUCAUCAGGAAAAGCCAUUUCUACUAAGAAAUAGGGCAGAAUAGACUGUAAAGUCUCAGGAUUGAGAUUUCCUAAUUAGGUCCUGGCAGGUGGCCUGUGGGUCUCCUGACUUCUCCUAGAGCAGGAAAGACAAGGUGAAUUUAUCAUCAUCUAACUUGAUGUUACUUUUCCUCUCCUUCCCUCCUUGCUUCUUUCCUUCUCCUUUGCUUCUUUCUUCUAUUUUUUUUUUUUUUUUUAGGUAAAAACACCAUGGAUACAAUGAACUGGUAUAGGUGGGCUUUGAUGAAAACUACUUGGGGAACUUUAGGAGCUUGUACCUCCAACUAGAUAAAAUCACUCUGUUUUUUCCUCUUGGUUAACUAUCGACUGUUGAGAACUCUUCUAUUGCUCAUUAGAAACACAAAUUAUCAUGAAGGAAUAAGAAGAAAUGCUUUCUAAGAACAGGAAUGUAAAUUGCUACAAGAAAAAAGUCAGCCAUAUAUGUCGAAGGAUUUAUUGACUUAAACAUGAAAAAUAAGGGCAGACCUCCCAGAUUAGUUUGUAUUGAUAAUACCUCUUAACUGCAUCCUCUCCCCUACCCAAGGGGCUUUAAGUCCCAUAAAGAUAUUAUCAAGUCCAGACAUGCAAAUUAAAGUGGGUCCAUAGGUUCAGAGCUUGAAAGAAAUCAGGCCACAGUUGAAAAAAUUAGGCUUCAUGAAAAUUCUAAUUUUUGUGAAAAAUUCAAAUGAAAACAUGGAGAACUGAGACCAUGGUGGGAAUGAGGGUGAAUAAUAGAAGCUGCCUUAGGAGAGGAAUAUCCCCACUAGGAUGAGUUUCCUUGCUCCAACUUAAAUGGAAGAUAAGAGAAAUCUUGAGUCGCUAGAAGUUAAAUCAUACAAACUCUAAAUAUUGUGAUAGUUGUGGGGCGAUUGGAUGUUUGGACAUUAGCAAACUACUGUCCACUUAUGUGAGGCUUGAGGUCGUAUUUUUGGUUUUGUUUAUUAAAAAGUACUUAUCUUUGAAGUUCCCAUUGUGGCUCAGUGCUAACAAACCCUACUAGUAGCCAUGAGCACACAGGUUCAAUCCCUAGCCCUGUUUAGUGGGUUAAAGAUCUGGCCUUGCUGUGGGCUGUGAUGUAGGUUGCAGACACGUGGAUUCCAUGUUGCUAUGGUUGUGGUGUAGGCCAGCAGCUACAGCUCUGAUUCGACCCCUAGCCUGGAACCUCCAUAUGCCAUGGGUGUG
rnacentral:lncRNA from 1 species